UACAGAGGUCUCAAGCGUUGUUCGGAUUCAUUGGGCGUAAAGGGUGCGUAGGUGGCAUGGUAAGUCGGAUGUGAAAUCCCGGGGCUCAACCCCGGAACUGCAUUCGAUACUGCUGCGCUAGAGUACUGGAGAGGAGAUUGGAAUUUACGGUGUAGCAGUGAAAUGCGUAGAUAUCGUAAGGAAGACUAGUGGCGAAGGCGGAUCUCUGGACAGUUACUGACACUGAGGCACGAAGGCCAGGGGAGCAAACGGG
rnacentral:rRNA from 1 species